CCUUUAAUUCACACCUCAUCGCACCACCCACAUUCGCACCCACCCAUCUACCCCUCUGUCUCCGCAUCCGCGUGUCUUUGAGAAGGUAAACGGAAGACAGAAGAGGACGGAGGAAAACGACGAGGGAAAGGAAUAUAGCAGACAGAAAGCAGAGCUGACACGGUGACGCCCUUCCUUUGUUUACUUCGCCGCCCUCGUUUCUCUCCCCGAACAUGGAGCGAGGUAAGAAGAAAGCGAAGAGAUCUCUCCUUUGCCUUCCCGAAUCCGAUUCCGCCGUUCAUGCCGCGAUCCGCUAGUGCUUCCCCGGCUUCGUGGUGGAGGGGGCGCAUGAGGAGAAAAAAGGGAUCAAAAUGAGGGCGACCCACCCCAUCAAGUACAAAGUUCUCCAGUAGUAGGAUGCCAGGUGUUCUAGCCCUUUCGAUUAUGUAUGACAAGUGCAUUAGAUAAGGGCAGUUUUGGUGAAGCAGGGAAUGAAGCCAUUGGUCCAUCAGAUGUCAUAUAUUUUGGGUCAUUAUUAUUUGAUAUCCUCAAAUUGCUCAUUUAAUUAAUUGAUGUAUUCACAUUUUGGGGUUAAGUCAAA